AGUGAACGCUGGCGGUAGGCCUAACACAUGCAAGUCGAGCGGCAGCACAGUAAGAGCUUGCUCUUACGGGUGGCGAGUGGCGGACGGGUGAGGAAUACAUCGGAAUCUACUUUUUCGUGGGGGAUAACGUAGGGAAACUUACGCUAAUACCGCAUACGACCUACGGGUGAAAGCAGGGGAUCUUCGGACCUUGCGCGAUUGAAUGAGCCGAUGUCGGAUUAGCUAGUUGGCGGGGUAAAGGCCCACCAAGGCGACGAUCCGUAGCUGGUCUGAGAGGAUGAUCAGCCACACUGGAACUGAGACACGGUCCAGACUCCUACGGGAGGAAGCAGUGGGGAAUAUUGGACAAUGGGCGCAAGCCUGAUCCAGCCAUACCGCGUGGGUGAAGAAGGCCUUCGGGUUGUAAAGCCCUUUUGUUGGGAAAGAAAAGCAGCAGGUUAAUACCCCGCUGUUCUGACGGUACCCAAAGAAUAAGCACCGGCUAACUUCGUG
rnacentral:rRNA from 1 species